rnacentral:rRNA from 1 species
GAUGAACGCUGGCGGCGUGCCUAAUACAUGCGAGUCGAGCGAACAGACGAGGAGCUUGCUCCUCUGACGUUAGCGGCGGACGGGUGAGUAACACGUGGAUAACCUACCUAUAAGACUGGGAUAACUUCGGGAAACCGGAGCUAAUACCGGAUAAUAUAUUGAACCGCAUGGUUCAAUAGUGAAAGACGGUUUUGCUGUCACUUAUAGAUGGAUCCGCGCCGCAUUAGCUAGUUGGUAAGGUAACGGCUUACCAAGGCAACGAUGCGUAGCCGACCUGAGAGGGUGAUCGGCCACACUGGAACUGAGACACGGUCCAGACUCCUACGGGAGGCAGCAGUGGGGAAUCUUCCGCAAUGGGCGAAAGCCUGACGGAGCAACGCCGCGUGAGUGAUGAAGGUCUUCGGAUCGUAAAACUCUGUUGUUAGGGAAGAACAAAUGUGUAAGUAACUAUGCACGUCUUGACGGUACCUAAUCAGAAAGCCACGGCUAACUACGUG